UCUGGUAUUGAUUGGUGCUUGCAUCAUGAUUUACAUUUGAGUGAGUGGCGAACUGGUGAGUAACACGUGGGAAACCUGCCCAGAAGCGGGGGAUAACACCUGGAAACAGAUGCUAAUACCGCAUAACAACUUGGACCGCAUGGUCCGAGUUUGAAAGAUGGCUUCGGCUAUCACUUUUGGAUGGUCCCGCGGCGUAUUAGCUAGAUGGUGGGGUAACGGCUCACCAUGGCAAUGAUACGUAGCCGACCUGAGAGGGUAAUCGGCCACAUUGGGACUGAGACACGGCCCAAACUCCUACGGGAGGCAGCAGUAGGGAAUCUUCCACAAUGGACGAAAGUCUGAUGGAGCAACGCCGCGUGAGUGAAGAAGGGUUUCGGCUCGUAAAACUCUGUUGUUAAAGAAGAACAUAUCUGAGAGUAACUGUUCAGGUAUUGACGGUAUUUAACCAGAAAGCCACGGCUAACUACGUGCCAGCAGCCGCGGUAAUACGUAGGUGGCAAGCGUUGUCCGGAUUUAUUGGGCGUAAAGCGAGCGCAGGCGGUUUUUUAAGUCUGAUGUGAAAGCCUUCGGCUCAACCGAAGAAGUGCAUCGGAAACUGGGAAACUUGAGUGCAGAAGAGGACAGUGGAACUCCAUGUGUAGCGGUGAAAUGCGUAGAUAUAUGGAAGAACACCAGUGGCGAAGGCGGCUGUCUGGUCUGUAACUGACGCUGAGGCUCGAAAGUAUGGGUAGCAAACAGGAUUAGAUACCCUGGUAGUCCAUACCGUAAACGAUGAAUGCUAAGUGUUGGAGGGUUUCCGCCCUUCAGUGCUGCAGCUAACGCAUUAAGCAUUCCGCCUGGGGAGUACGGCCGCAAGGCUGAAACUCAAAGGAAUUGACGGGGGCCCGCACAAGCGGUGGAGCAUGUGGUUUAAUUCGAAGCUACGCGAAGAACCUUACCAGGUCUUGACAUACUAUGCAAAUCUAAGAGAUUAGACGUUCCCUUCGGGGACAUGGAUACAGGUGGUGCAUGGUUGUCGUCAGCUCGUGUCGUGAGAUGUUGGGUUAAGUCCCGCAACGAGCGCAACCCUUAUUAUCAGUUGCCAGCAUUAAGUUGGGCACUCUGGUGAGACUGCCGGUGACAAACCGGAGGAAGGUGGGGAUGACGUCAAAUCAUCAUGCCCCUUAUGACCUGGGCUACACACGUGCUACAAUGGAUGGUACAACGAGUUGCGAACUCGCGAGAGUAAGCUAAUCUCUUAAAGCCAUUCUCAGUUCGGAUUGUAGGCUGCAACUCGCCUACAUGAAGUCGGAAUCGCUAGUAAUCGCGGAUCAGCAUGGCGCGGUGAAUACGUUCCCGGGCCUUGUACACACCGCC
rnacentral:rRNA from 2 species